rnacentral:rRNA from 1 species
UACCUUCAAAACAAGUUAAUUAAUCUUAUCAUAAAAAUACAAAUAGUAAAGUUAUAUGUUAGUUGUGAAAAAAAAAUCUUUUUACUUUUUGUUUUAACCUGUUGAAAAAGAAGUAAAAACUGGGGUUAGUAGCCCACUAUAACCUAAGUAAAUUUUUUAAGGUAUUAAAAGCCUAGUCUCUAAACCUAAAAAACAUGGCAGUAUUUUACCCCUUGCAGAGGAACUUGAAUAUUAAUUAGAUAUUCCUCUUUUUUUCUUACUUAAUUUUUUUUUAUGUGUGGUUGUUAAAAUAAGUAUAAAAUUAUAAGUUGUAAAUCAGAUGACAUGUAUAAAUAAUUAAGGUAAUUUUAGUUACAAUUAAAUAAUUUAAUAGGCAUAUAUAGGAUUUGCAAGUAUUACGUUAAAAAAGUAAGAAGAGGUUUUAAAAUGUGUACAUAUUGUCCGUCGCUCUCAGAAAU